GCCAUUUUUGACCUACUUUCGCGGAAUAACAAAAUUUGAACGAAAUGGUUACGUUUGUAGUGUAAAACAACUGAAAUCGACUUUGGGAAGCGACAACCAUACACUCAUAUAUAGGAAAAUUUUGUUGGGAUAGAGUGUACUAUGUCGGGAAGUGAAGAGGUUGGAAGCCCCAUGGAGCAUGGGGAGUUAGAACCAAGCCCCGACCACACAGAAACCCAGCAAGAGGAUGAUGUCAUGGAAGACAGAGAGGAACAAGAAGAAGCCUUAUAUAUCAAGCCACCACAAGCAAAGGUGAUAAAGAAAGACAAACACAAACACAAGCAUAAGGAACAUAGAAAGAAAGAUAGAGACAAGGAUCAAGGUAAACACAGAGAUAGAAGUCGAGGAAGCAGACAAGAUCGCCAUGGCAAAGAACAUCGUAGAGACAGAAGUGGCGAGAAAUCCCGUGACAAAAAGGAGCACUCUAGAGAUGAAAAACGACGAGAAGAUCGUAUAAGAGACAAAGACAAUCGCCCUCAUAGUAGGGAAACUAAACCUGAACGUAUCAUAGAAAAAGUACCUGUUGAAAGGUCUGAGAGAAGACCCUCCAAAGAGAAAACAGAAUCAGUUAAACCUACAAAAGAAAGAGACUUAAGAGAAAAAUUAGAGGCUAGAUCUAAGGAAUCAAGGGAUAAAGAGAAACUCAAGUCUGACUCAUCCAAGAGAGCAGUAAAGGUUGAUGAUAAUAAGACAGUUGAUAUAAAAACAAAAUCAAGACACAGACAAGAGCCAGAUAUUGUAGAUAUUACUCAGGAAAAACAUAGUGAACCAAAACCACAGACUGAAAAGGAAAAACGGGAAGAAUCUAGGAGAGAAAGAGAGCGGCUUGAGCGUAUAGAGCGAGAGAAGCAGAUGAGGGAUAGGUUAAUGAGAGCUCAACGAGAGAAAAGGCAACAAGAAGAGGAGCUGAGAGCAAGGGCUGAGAAAUCUGCUAAAGAUGCUGCCAUUAAGAAAGAAAAAGAAGAACUGAGGCGUGCAAGAGAAGCCAGAGACAAUAGUAGAAAACAGAAAGACCGAUCUGAAGUUGAACGUAGCAGGAGUAGAGAACGUGACACACGCACUAGGGAUACUCGAGACAGGGGAGAUCGAGAUAGAGGCAGGGAUCGGGAUCAGAUAAGAGAAAGAGAUCAGAGUGCCAGGGAUCGAGAUAGAGAAAGAGGUCAGUUACGUGAUCAACGGGACCAGAUGCGUGAUCGAGAUCCAGACCGACCAAGUAGCCGAAGAUCCACCCCUCAAAAUAAUUCUGGAAGAAGCAAGGCCCCUCCAGAGCCUAUUUACAAGGAAGAGUCUCCUGAGGUGGAAGAAGAGGUUGAGUCCAGUGAGGCAGAAAGUGAAGAUCAGAAUGCUGAAUCUGCUUCAGAGGAAGAAAGUGGAGACACCAAUUCAGAAGAUUCGGAUUCUGACUCAGAGAGUGAGAGCGGCUCAGAGAGUGGGGAGGAGGAUGAACAGAAAGCACCAGUGAAGUCCAAGUUUGAAGAUCAAUCAGAGGAGGAAGCCUCAGAGGAAGAACAUUCCCCCGAGCCUCAGGGACACUAUCUGGAUGAUACUCCCCCACAAUCCCCCAUUGAGCUGAAGCCAGAAUUACCGCCAUAUUUCCCAGCUAUCCAGGGCUGCAGGAGUGUGGAGGAAUUUCACUGUCUCAACAGGAUCGAGGAGGGUACCUAUGGUGUUGUAUAUAGGGCCAGAGACAAGAAAACAAAUGAGAUAGUUGCUCUGAAAAGACUGAAGAUGGAGAAAGAGAAGGAGGGAUUUCCUAUCACUUCUCUGAGAGAGAUCAGUACAAUUCUCAAGGGGCAACAUGAGAACAUUGUCACUGUCCGUGAAAUAGUGGUAGGAAGCAAUAUGGACAAGAUCUAUAUAGUAAUGGACUAUGUAGAACAUGAUCUCAAGAGUCUUAUGGAGUCAAUGAAGCAACCAUUCCUUGUUGGUGAAGUUAAAACCCUGAUGCUGCAGUUGCUACGUGCAGUCAACCAUCUCCAUGACAACUGGAUCCUCCAUAGAGAUCUGAAGACAUCAAAUCUCUUACUUAGCCAUAAAGGUAUCCUGAAAGUUGGAGACUUUGGCCUUGCCCGUGAAUAUGGGUCCCCUCUGAAGCCGUAUACCCCCAUAGUUGUAACACUAUGGUACAGGGCCCCUGAGCUGCUUCUAGGGACAAAGCAAUAUGAUACUGCCAUUGAUGUGUGGAGUGUAGGCUGUAUAUUUGCAGAGUUUCUCACUAUGAAACCACUGUUCCCUGGCAAGUCAGAGAUUGAUGAACUCAAUAGAAUAUUUAAAGACUUAGGAACUCCUAAUGAAAAGAUUUGGCCAGGUGUUGGUGAUCUUCCAACCAUGAAAAAAUGCACAUUUGCAGAAUAUCCGUACAAUACUCUAAGGAACAGAUUUGGCUCUUACCUCACUGAGAAAGGAUUUGAGCUUGUAAACAAAUUUUUGACUUAUGAUCCGAAGAAGAGAAUAAAAGCUCAAGAUGCCUUGAAGCAUGAAUUCUUCAAGGAAUCUCCCCAACCAGUUGACCCCUCAAUGUUCCCUACCUGGCCUGCCAAGAGUGAGCAGAACAGAAAACAUGGCAAUACCCCUAAACCUCCAUCUGGGGGUAAGGGGGCUUAUGCUAAACUUUUGGGAGAUGAUGACAUAGAGCAAGUGUUGGCCACAGGGGGCGCUGGUUUCCAUCUCCAAACCGCAACUAAGGGGAUAUCAUCUGGUGCUGUGCCUAGUUUCAGUCUCAAGUUCUAGAAAUGUCAUAUGUUUAAAAGUUCCAGUGAUGUCAUCUGUCUGAAGUUCUUGGGAUGUCAUCUGUAUGAAGUCUAAUGAUGUCAUUAGUGGAAAGAUCUUGCAUAGUCAUUCGUCCAAGCUCAAGUUAUGUUAUCACUCUUUGAAGCUCUACAGCAAAGCUCAAUGGCUCAAUAUUUCUACUGUUCCAGAACAUAUACAAAGAUAUUUGUCAAAUUGUGAUGAAAUUCUUAUUGCACGAACUGGAAAUGAUUGAGCAAACUGAGCAUAUGAUUAUGUUCAGGAAACUAACCAAUAUAAUAAACUAAAAAUAUUAAAUCCAUCAAUGAUAAACUAUUGAAAAAACUGACAAUAAUUUCAGCGAAAAAUCGCAACAUCGAAUUGUUAACGCCAUCUAUAUGGUUGUUAAAGUGACAAUUUACAUUGACAAGUUGACUCCAUGGUGCCUACUGCCAUCUAUAGUUCAGAUGUAUCUAGGUAAGGGAUGCCACAUAUAUAUACUAACAUAUAGUAUAAGAUGUUCCCUUUUAGUAUUUACAUAAGUGCAUGCUGUAGUAUAUCUAACACAGAAGCCAAAAAAUGGGUUAUUGAGCUGUCACACUUGGGUUCACCGUUCACCACCAUGUGAAAACUUUGGGACAGGCUGCGGGACAUGGCAUGGACACACAGUCGGCAAAACAAUCAGUUUUGCAGUAAGAUAGCUCCUAUCACACAAAAUACAAAAAUAAAUGAAUUAAUUCAAAAAUUAAUGCCCAAAAUUAGCCACACCAUGGCGAAUGGUGAGCCCACAUGGCUAAUGUGACAGCUAUUAGAUAGAGCAAGCUCCGUAUUCAGUUACAGUAAAACACUGCUUAGACCAGCCUGAAGUGUUUGAAUUGAGAGGUGUUCAUAUCUUGAGGUUCUGAUAGCAUGAGAGUCACACAAGGAGAAUAGAAAUGUGAACAUUUUGAUGCGUUUAUUAAAUUUAAAGAAUGUGAUUACAUGUUGAGGGAAUAAAUAAGUGUUCACAUUUUCGCUGUGUUUGCACUGAGAUGUUCACAUACCCAUGUUAUAUUUUACCUUAUUUGCCAUGUUUUGUGGGGGUUUUGUGCUAGACAGUAGUGUGAACAUCAACCUUUCAUUGAAAUUAUAUAUUCUGAAACCUUAAUUGGAAAAAAUUGAAUUUUUUCAUGAAACACUGUCUGAAGUGAAAAUUUUGUAUGUAAAGAUUGAUCUAAAGGUUUUCACAUUUCAUAUAGUGCUCAAUCAUAUUCAAUCUUAUGAAUGACCUUUUU
rnacentral:misc_RNA from 1 species